GCCAGCGUGGCUUAAUGGUUUCAGUGUUAGACUAUAGACUCUGGAGACCAGAUUUCGAUUCCUUGCUCAGCCA